rnacentral:rRNA from 1 species
GUAGCUGGCUGAGUUAUUCCCUUGUUAAAUCCACCGAAUUAAUCGUUGGAUUGCGGGGGAUACUGCUCGGCUAGGGGACGAGAGAGGCAGACGGUAUUUCUGGGGUAGGGGUGAAAUCCUAUAAUCCCAGGAGGACCACCAGUGGCGAAGGCUGUCUGCUAGAACGCGCCCGACGGUGAGGGAUGAAAGCUGGGGGAGCGAACCGGAUUAGAUACCCGGGUAGUCCCAGCUGUAAACGAUGCAGACUAGGUGUUUGGACGGCCACGUGCCGUUCUAGUGCCGCA